UACAGAGGUCUCAAGCGUUGUUCGGAUUCAUUGGGCGUAAAGGGUGCGUAGGCGGCGCGGUAAGUCGGGUGUGAAAUCUCGGAGCUUAACUCCGAAACUGCAUUCGAUACUGCCGUGCUUGAGGACUGGAGAGGAGACUGGAAUUUACGGUGUAGCGGUGAAAUGCGUAGAUAUCGUAAGGAAGACCAGUGGCGAAGGCGGGUCUCUGGACAGUUCCUGACGCUGAGGCACGAAGGUCAGGGGCGCAAACGGG
rnacentral:rRNA from 1 species